rnacentral:lncRNA from 1 species
AUUAUGAUACUACCAGGGUCAAAGUGAAUUUGACUUUCAAUUUUAUAUAAUCCAUCAAUGACUAUUCUCUUUUUAAAGUCUUGGCAGCUCUUUGGGGGAUGGAAGAAGACCAUGAAGCUCUAAGUGCUUCAGAGGAAUGGGGUUGCCAAAACAGAUGUGAGAGGCCCAGAGAGGAGGCUGGGCCAAUGCUGAAGGGUAUUAUUUUGGGGCUGAGUGCAGAAAUAAGAGAUGCGUGCUAAAAGGUCAUCGGUUUAGAACCAGCCCUAGAUCUCCUGGGAUCCUGCCCAGCUGAAUCUUCCUCCUUGUAACAUG